rnacentral:rRNA from 1 species
AGUGAGAAUGCCGGAAUGAGUAGCGAGAAUUAUGUGAGAAUCAUAAUGGCCGAAAAUCUAAGGUUUCCUGAGGAAGGUUCGUCCGCUCAGGGUAAGCCGGGGGCUAAGGCGAGGCGGAGACGCGUAGCCGAUGCACAUACGGUUGAAAUUCCGUAGCCACCGAAAGAUUUAAGUACAGGGACGCUUUAGAAGUGAUGUAGCCGGGCGAUGGUUGACCCGGUCGUAAGGGAUCGAAAAUGAGUAGAGAAGUCAUCAUGGAAAGAGACAAGAAAAGCUGUAUGAAUAUCUUAGGUGCCCGUACCGCAAACCGACACAGGUAGAUAGGAAGAAGAUUCUAAGGCCAACGGGAGAAGGGUUGUUAAGGAACUCGGCAAGUUGACCCCGUAACUUAGGGAUAAGGGGUGCUCAAGUGAUUGAGCCGCAGAGAAUAGGCCCAGGCGACUGUUUAGCAAAAACACAGGUCUCUGCUAAAUCGAAAGAUGACGUAUAGGGGCUGACACCUGCCCGGUGCCGGAAGGUUAAGAGGAGAUGUGAGAGCAUUGAAUUGAAGCCCCGGUAAACGGCGGCCGUAACUAUAACGGUCCUAAGGUAGCGAAAUUCCUUGUCAGGUAAGUUCUGACCCGCACGAAAGGUGUAACGAUCUGGGCACUGUCUCAACAACCCGCCCGGCGAAAUUGUAGUACCGGUGAAGAUGCCGGUUACCCGCGACAAGACGGAAAGACCCCAUGGAGCUUUACUGUAGCCUAAUAUUGGAUUUCGGUAUUUCACGUACAGGAUAGGUGGGAGACUGGGAAGCACAGGCGUCAGCUUGUGUGGAGUCGACCUUGGGAUACCACUCUUGGAGUGCUGGAAUUCUAACCUGCGGCUUUGAAGCAAGUCGGGGGACAUUGUUAGGUGGGCAGUUUGACUGGGGCGGUCGCCUCCUAAAGAGUAACGGAGGCGCUCAAAGGUUCGCUCUGCAUGGAUGGAAACCAUGCGUCAGAGUGUAAACGCAAAAGCGAGCCUAACUGCGAGAAUGACGGUUCGAGCAGUAACGAAAGUUGGAGUUAGUGAUCCGGCGGUAUGUGAAUGGAAAUGCCGUCGCUCAACGGAUAAAAGCUACCCUGGGGAUAACAGGCUGAUCUCCCCCAAGAGUCCACAUCGACGGGGAGGUUUGGCACCUCGAUGUCGGCUCAUCGCAUCCUGGGGCUGUAUUCGGUCCCAAGGGUUUGGCUGUUCGCCAAUUAAAGCGGUACGCGAGCUGGGUUCAGAACGUCGUGAGACAGUUCGGUCCCUAUCUGUCGUGGGCGUAGGAUAUUUGCAAGGAGCUGUCCCUAGUACGAGAGGACCGGGAUGGACGCACCUCUGGUGCACCAGUUGUCACGCCAGUGGCACAGCUGGGCAGCUAUGUGCGGAACGGAUAAACGCUGAAGGCAUCUAAGCGUGAAGCUGCCCUUAAGAUAAGAUAUCCCUUCUGUUUACAGAGUAAGACCCCUUGAAGACUACAAGGUUGAUAGGCUCAAAGUGUAAGCACGGUGACGUGUUUAGCUAGCGAGUACUAAUCGGUCGAGGGCUUAACCUU